rnacentral:ncRNA from 1 species
GCAAAGUAGAACAAGUGCGUAAAGUGGCAGGGGAUGGGAAGUUGCCCCUGCACGAAAGGAACUUUGUAAAAAGCAAUUUUUCUGCGGUACUUGUUUGCGUCCGUUG